rnacentral:rRNA from 1 species
GACAGAGGGGGCAAGCGUUGCUCGGAAUUACUGGGCGUAAAGGGCGCGUAGGCGGAAUGGCAAGUCGGUCGUGAAAUCCUUCGGCUCAACCGAAGAACGUCGAUCGAAACUGCCGUUCUUGAGGAUUGCAGAGGAGACUGGAAUUCCCGGUGUAGCGGUGAAAUGUGUAGAGAUGUGGAGGAACACCGAUGGCGAAGGCAGCCUCCUGGGCCAAUACUGACGCUCAUGCACGAAAGCGUGGGGAGCAAACAGG